AGAGUUUGAUCCUGGCUCAGGAUGAACGCUGGCGGCAUGCCUAAUACAUGCAAGUCGAACGAGAGGAAGGAGAGCUUGCUUUCCUGAAUCUAGUGGCGAACGGGUGAGUAACACGUAGGUAACCUGCCCAUGUGCCCGGGAUAACUUCUGGAAACGGAUGCUAAAACCGGAUAGGUAGCAGACAAGCAUUUGACUGCUAUUAAAGUGGCUAAGGCCAUGAACAUGGAUGGACCUGCGGUGCAUUAGCUAGUUGGUGAGGUAACGGCCCACCAAGGCGACGAUGCAUAGCCGGCCUGAGAGGGCGGACGGCCACAUUGGGACUGAGACACGGCCCAAACUCCUACGGGAGGCAGCAGUAGGGAAUUUUCGUCAAUGGGGGGAACCCUGAACGAGCAAUGCCGCGUGAGUGAGGAAGGUCUUCGGAUCGUAAAGCUCUGUUGUAAGAGAAAAACGACAUUCAUAGGGAAUGAUGAGUGAGUGAUGGUAUCUUACCAGAAAGUCACGGCUAACUACGUGCCAGCAGCCGCGGUAAUACGUAGGUGGCGAGCGUUAUCCGGAAUGAUUGGGCGUAAAGGGUGCGUAGGUGGCAGAUCAAGUCUGGAGUAAAAGGUAUGGGCUCAACCCGUACUGGCUCUGGAAACUGAUCAGCUAGAGAACAGAAGAGGACGGCGGAACUCCAUGUGUAGCGGUG
rnacentral:rRNA from 1 species